UUUCCGUAGGUGAAGCUGCGGAAGGAUCAUUGUC
rnacentral:rRNA from 1 species